CCUACGGGGGGCAGCAGUGGGGAAUAUUGGACAAUGGGCGAAAGCCUGAUCCAGCCAUGCCGCGUGUGUGAAGAAGGCCUUCGGGUUGUAAAGCACUUUCAGUGGGGAAGAAAGCCUUGGGGCUAAUACCCUCGAGGAAGGACAUCACCCACAGAAGAAGCACCGGCUAACUCCGUGCCAGCAGCCGCGGUAAUACGGAGGGUGCGAGCGUUAAUCGGAAUUACUGGGCGUAAAGCGCGCGUAGGCGGUCUGAUAAGCCGGUUGUGAAAGCCCCGGGCUCAACCUGGGAACGGCAUCCGGAACUGUCAGGCUAGAGUGCAGGAGAGGAAGGUAGAAUUCCCGGUGUAGCGGUGAAAUGCGUAGAGAUCUGGAGGAAUACCAGUGGCGAAGGCGGCCUUCUGGACAGACACUGACGCUGAGGUGCGAAAGCGUGGGUAGCAAACAGGAUUAGAUACCCGAGUAGUC
rnacentral:rRNA from 1 species